UACGUAGGGUGCAAGCGUUGUCCGGAAUUAUUGGGCGUAAAGAGCGUGUAGGCGGCCAGAUAGGUCUGUUGUGAAAACUCGAGGCUCAACCUCGAGACGCCGAUGGAAACCAUUUGGCUAGAGUCCGGAAGAGGAGAGUGGAAUUCCUGGUGUAGCGGUGAAAUGCGCAGAUAUCAGGAAGAACACCCGUGGCUAAGGCGGCUCUCUAGUACGGUACUGACGCUGAGACGCGAAAGCGUGGGGAGCGAACAGG
rnacentral:rRNA from 1 species